GUGGAGAUGGUCCAUAUUUACAACAUUUGUUGCAGACAAUGAGACAAAUGUAGUCCAUACUCCACAAAUUGCCAGAAGUAAUGUUAUUUGACCCAACAGGAGGGAGAAAGCGGAAUUUGUGUGGAGAGUAAGAUGCUGAUGUUUGGAUGUGCAGAGAAGAGUUUCCAUAUAGCAGGAAAAGCCCUUUUUCCUUUCUCUCCAGCUUGUAAGGAAGAGUCUAGAUAUUCCCACAUAGCACUAAGUUCUUCUAAGGGACAAUACUGGAAAAAGAAGAAAUCACAAGCUGGGGAAAAAGGUAUACCAGAGUUUAGUUUUGAGAAGGGAUGCAGUGCUUGAGAGAAGAAGCUAUCAUCCACAUGAACCAUGAGAGCUCUGAUUUUCUUCUGAGAAGUUGUAUCCAUGUGCCAGAAAACAAGUAGGGUUACUAUUACCCAGUCACAAGAGAUGAGUAUUACAAAUAAAAUACUACAAAAAAAAUAGAAC
rnacentral:lncRNA from 1 species